GUGAAAACAAAUGCAAUAAAAAGGAACAAGAAAAAAUAGGCGAAAGUUUUGUAAAUCAACGCUAAUCACUGUGACUAUUUGGAGCUCCGAACCACACCUUCCAGCACAAAUGAGUGUCGCGAUAAAGAUCGAAGGUAACGUGGUAUGCAUUCACUUUGCCACACAGCAUUCGCUGGCGGUAUUUAAUUUCAUUUAAAUUAUGUUGCUGACCCAGCAAUGAAUAACAAACAAACCUAUUGACAUUUACAUAAAUAAAUGAAAGAGCAACAACACUGUUGUAAAACACAAUAAAAACAAAACGACCCCACGUGGUGGCCCAAACAAACGAAUUGCCACCAGAGUGAGCCGGCGAGGUGAGCAUUGCUGAAGCCAACAACAAUUCUAAGUAUGAGCCGAGGCAGCAGAAGCAGCAGCACGUAAUGUCCCUCGUUGCUGGUGGCGCCUGGACAACAAACAACAACAAAAGACCGAUGAAAUAUCGAACAAAAAAUAAUCAAAAAUUAUUUGAAAUAGAAAUAAAUUUAAAUCUAACAGUUGUUUACAUUAAA